GCGGGUGCCCCGCCGUGCCGGGCACCGGAGCUGGAGCUGGGCCGGGUCCGGCCCCUGCCUCUCGGCUUCCCCAGCAGCGCGGCGCUCCGCAUUCAUGAGUCCUGAAUCAGGCCAGCCAGACUCGGGGCGUGAUUUCCUAAUGCCGAUGCAUGAUGUUUCUCAGAUAUGCUUUCGUGAUUACAAGAAAUGCCACAGCCUGAGACGCCUGUCUUCCCCACCCCAAUCCAAGCCCUAGGUAGAGAGCAGCUGGCUCCAUAAAACAGGACUCAUCUGUGUUUCUGCCGUACUAUUCUGUACAUAAAUAGAUAUAAAACACCAGAUUGCUAAAAGGGACACCUGAAGCAGUAAAUUACUAGACUCUUCCAGCUUGGGACUGUGAGGCAGAAGAGCAGAAGCCAUAACAAGUAUAUCUACCUCCAGAAUCCAGGGCCUGCCCACCCUUUCAAAUGAUAGAAGCAUCACUUACGCUGGGCUAUGGCACAGUUGUUCUCCUACAUCAGCCUGUUGCCUGCCAUUCUGAUAUGAUCUCAGAGACCCAUGAAUUAUGGUGGCUUCAGUGAGGAAUCAGACUGCCAUUGAUCAGACAAAACUGAGCUUGCAGUCUAGGGGAGAGCAGGCUGGAAGAAAGAACAGAGCUGGGACACCCCUCAAAGGCGGAGCCCAGGGGAGCAGAACCUGAUCCUCCUGACGCUGCCAGGACAACAACCAACAGCUGGUGCCUUUGCUCUCACUGUGUUACCUGCUGCCUGCCCACAGUCCCACAUCCUUUCCCAGCAGCAGCAACAGCCAGCCUGCUUUGCUUCCACGCUUGGAAAGUUCAAACUAUGCUGCACAGUUUCCAAAGAGAGCUAGAGCCAAACAGCUUUUAGCACUUUCUUCAGCAGUUUGCAAAAGAAACAUCAACAAACCAGGAGGCAGCUACCUGCCCUGCAAGAUCCCCAGCUAAAAGGGAGGGCAAGGAUGUGAGGAAAAUGAGAGAGCAGGAAACCAGAGAAAGCUUGAAAACCUCCCUGCAAGCCCAGAGGCUCCUGGCCUUUGUCACUGCCUGAACCCUGCUACCAAAUGUGUCUCAAGACAUCUGUCCUGCCCAGUGAACUCUGUCUUACGUCCUAAGUUGUUUCCCUGCUGUUUGGAGAUGCACAGUGUUGUGUAAUGUGUUGUAACAUUGGUUUCAUGUCUGUGUGGGUGUCUUUCUGGCAAGAAAAAGAAAGUUUUGAACCUCAUUCUCCCAUCUUCCUAGUUACUGUCUGCCAGACUGUUUGCUAGUGUAAGGGAGUCAGGGUGAUGGUGGUGGCUUAUUUUGCACUUGAUAGCAUAACAAAACUAAAGGAAAAAAACUCCUUCACUCAGUUCUUACUCAGAAAGCUCUUUGUUUUGUUGUGUUUCCUUUUUUUUUUUAACCUGCUAAUGAAUUAAGUCUUUUUACAAGUUCAAGUUUUGUGUAAUGAAGAAAGAUUUUAAAAUUAUGGGGUUUUCCUACUCAGUGCUGAUUAUUGCUGGUAUAGAGCUUUUGACACGUGAUUUGGAAACUAGAAGUCUGGAUUCCACUCCCCAGUUCAUAUGCAUACCUCUGAAUUGUGGAUACUUGCUUAGGUGUACAAUGUGUUGUCAUUAGGGCUGGUUUUUAGUUUAAUAGUGGUUUAACAUAUAAAGUAGAGUACUAGCAUAGACGGGAUAAAAGGACUGCUGUGACUUCUACCAAUUUGGAGUAAUUCACAUCACUUGGAAUAACUGCUGAGCCACUUCUGGCAAGGAAAAAAAUGAGCUACAGGGCUUAUAAAAAGAUUUCUGAAUAGUAAUGACUUUAUCAUUGAUGGAAACUCUUAAGAACCAUAGAGCUUUCUGCAUUUUUCCCUGAGGCAGGAUUCUCCUAGACUUCAAGUCUUUAUUUGUCUCAUCCCCACAUAGGAAGUGACGCCUACUUGGAUGCUUUACUUUUUAAUCUACCUGCUCUCUGGCUGUAGCAAUAUUAGAUAUAGAAGAAAGGUUCAUAAAUCAGCACAGUAAUUCUCAUCACCAAAAAACUGGGGCAUGGUUUUGUUUAAUGUAUAGAAUUUAAUGACAGCAUUCAAAAGAAUUUAUGAGUUUAUAAGUAAGAUUAAAUCAGUUCCAAAGACAGUGUCAGACUGUGUCCAACAGUAUCAGUAAAACAUGUAGCACUGUCAUUUCUCCAAGUGUUUUGGAGAUUCCAGCUUUAUUCUUAUGGGUGUCAGGGUCACUUUCACUCUAAGGGACAGGAAAUAUCUGCUAGGUGCUUGCAAUUUGGUCAGUAGCAUGAAUUGGGAGCAAAGAGUAGAUCCUGGCACGUUCUUGUACUGUUCUGUAGCAAAGAGGUCUUACCCCUUGGGCAGUUAAAAGCACAUUCUUAAGUUCUUAGCAGAAGCAGCUAAGAAUAAACCUGAACUUGUCAGCAGCUGGGUUAAUGGUAAGAGAUUACCUCUCAUUUUAACUGCUCCUUGGCUUUAUAGCACAGAAGAGGUUUGCCAUUCAAAGCAUCCAUAGUGCUGCAUCACAGAUCAGUUGUUCCCUUUCCAAAGACUAACAACCUAAUCAAAAGAAAAAAGACUAUGCAAAGUCAGGCAGAGCAUGAAUGUACAACCCAUCAUAAAGAUCUGACUGCUCUUCUCCUUCUUCACCUCUUUUCUUUUCGGGUGCAGUAUAUGUCUUGAUCCCUCGGCAAUGAAAAUGACUUCACACAGUGAAGGAGGCUGUUUGGCUGAUAUCAGAGGCGAUUCUAGCUUCAUGCUGUUGACACAGUCCAUUUACUGUUGAAUCCGUGCUUACACUCCAGCCAUGCUGUUGCAUCCACAUUCCUGGGCUUGGAUUUGUGCCCUUUCUGCCCACAGUCAGUGUGUGCACAUGUUGUUGGCUUGGCUGCCCACCCUUGUACCCAUGCAGCAGGAUGGCGCAGUGCCUGCUCACAGAGGUGGGAAGCCAAUUUCACAAGGGUACAGAUGAGCACUGGAAAUAGAUUUUGACUUGCAUCCUGCUCAAUGCUGCCUAUGCCAGUUCCCCAGCUGGAAGUGGCUUCUUUUCAAUGGUAACUUUAAAAAAAAAAAAUUUCUAGGCUUAAUCAGUCUGAAAGUGAAUUACUGCCAAUUAGCACUAGGAAGAUAUUCACAUUGUUUUCUUUAAGAAGGAUUUGUGAUGAGGAAUGAGCUAGUAACUGAAUGCUUAGCAACAACUUCCUCAGAUGUGACCACUGUACCUGCUGUCAUGCUGUGCCAUACAGACAGGCACAUGUCCAAUGAGUGCUGCUCCAUGGGGGGGUGGGCAGUGGAGUCAGAAACUGAAUGCUGAGCUGCCCUUUUUCAAGGAAGCAGAGGGCAAGAGAUGAGAUUUAUUGACAAGAGCCCCUAAACAUCAGGACUAAUAUUAUGGCUUAUAUCUCUGAAGAUUUGCAUCAAUAAGCACUUAAUAAAUAGUAAGUAACAGGGACCCACAGUAAUACAACAAGAAAAGAAGAGAAUUGAGCAAUCUUAAAAAGAAAGCAGGGAUGAGAAAAUGAGAAAUUAUGGUUAAUCUGUUUUUCUAAUUACAUGAGAUUGGAUCCAGACUAGAAACAUCUGCUGCUUUGAUUUUGCUGCUCCUGGGAUUCCUCAAUCCUUUCCUCCUAGGUGGGAGAUUUCAAGUGAACAGGAUCUGGCCUGAGGAAAUCCAUCAAGCUGUAUUCAUUACUUAGGUUUUCUGUUUGUGCUGAUUUAAAGAUUUGGCCAUUUUGACUUUCUUUGGAUUAGAUGAGCCCAAGGGAGAUCUCCAAAGGAAUGUGCCAUUGGUUUUCUGUUUGCAGUUUUUUAUGUGAUGCAAUUCAAUAAAACUUCCAUGCAGGCAGUCAUUAAUUGUCAAAGCCAAAAAUACCCCUAAA